ACGAACGCUGGCGGCAGGCUUAACACAUGCAAGUCGAGCGGACCCUUCGGGGUCAGCGGCGGACGGGUGAGUAACGCGUGGGAACGUGCCCUUCUCUCUGGAAUAGCCCUGGGAAACUGGGAGUAAUGCCGGAUACGCCGGGCCAUGGCGACAUGGUUUGGGAAAGAUUUAUCGGGGAAGGAUCGGCCCGCGUUGGAUUAGGUAGUUGGUGGGGUAAUGGCCUACCAAGCCGACGAUCCAUAGCUGGUUUGAGAGGAUGAUCAGCCACACUGGGACUGAGACACGGCCCAGACUCCUACGGGAGGCAGCAGUGGGGAAUCUUGGACAAUGGGGGCAACCCUGAUCCAGCCAUGCCGCGUGAUCGAUGAAGGCCUUAGGGUUGUAAAGAUCUUUCAGCUGGGAAGAUAAUGACGGUACCAGCAGAAGAAGCCCCGGCUAACUCCGU
rnacentral:rRNA from 1 species